AUGGAGCCUUUGCUGGGAGGUGUUUUAGUGAUUUUGUCACUUCAAGUAGACUGGGUGACCAGCCAAAAGAUAGAACAGGAUUCUCAGGGCCUGAGCAUCCAUGAAGGAGAAAUGGCCGCUCUGACCUGUAACUACACAAGUUAUUCCCCAACAUUGUUUCAGUGGUACCGACAAGAUCCAGGAAGAGGCCUUAUCUUCUUGCUACUGAUACGUGAAAAUGAACGCGAAAAACGUGAAGGAAGAUGGAGGGUCACCUUUGAUACCACCCUUAAACAGAGCUCCUUUUAUAUCAGAGCUUCCCAGCCUGCAGACUCAGCCACUUAUCUCUGUGCUGCAGACACACAGCAGUGCCCUGGCAGCCACUUCCUGUACUCAAACCCUGCUUAG